UACAGAGGGGGCAAGCGUUGUUCGGAAUUACUGGGCGUAAAGGGCGCGUAGGCGGCCUUCUAAGUCGAACGUGAAAUCCCCGGGCUCAACCCGGGAACUGCGUCCGAUACUGGAAGGCUUGAAUCCGGGAGAGGGAUGCGGAAUUCCAGGUGUAGCGGUGAAAUGCGUAGAUAUCAGGAAGAACACCCGUGGCGAAGGCGGCUCUCUGGUACGUGACUGACGCUGAGACGCGAAAGCGUGGGGAGCGAACAGG
rnacentral:rRNA from 1 species